CUACGGGACGCACCAGUCGAGAAUCUUCCGCAAUGGACGAAAGUCUGACGGAGCGACGCCGCGUGCGGGAUGAAGGCCUUCGGGUUGUAAACCGCUGUCAGUGGGGAGGAAAUGCAUCAGGGUUCUCCCUGGUGUUUGACCGAUCCGCAGAGGAAGCGCAGGCUAAGUUCGUGCCAGCAGCCGCGGUAACACGAACUGCGCGAACGUUAUUCGGAAUCACUGGGCUUAAAGAGUUCGUAGGCGGCCUUUCAAGUCGGGUGUGAAAUCCCUCGGCUCAACCGAGGAAUUGCGCCUGAUACUGUUGGGCUUGAGGGAGAUAGGGGUGAGCGGAACUGAUGGUGGAGCGGUGAAAUGCGUUGAUAUCAUCAGGAACACCGGUGGCGAAGGCGGCUCACUGGAUCUCCUCUGACGCUGAGGAACGAAAGCUAGGGGAGCGAACGGGAUUAGAUACCCUAGUAGUC
rnacentral:rRNA from 1 species